UGGUAAGUGGUCCGAGUUGUAUCUUGGCUGAAUUCAAUUUUAUUUUAUUUGCAGGUUUAUGUUUUGUAGGUUUGGUGAUCAAGUGUCAGGAAUCCAGUUAGGUUCAAUUGGUCCAUUGGGAGGUUUGCUAGAAUUUGGUAAGUAAGUCUAUUUGUGGUUUUCCUUUGGCUAAUUUUAGCUACAUUUUAUUUGCAGCCUAAAUUAAUUUAUUUAGAGGUUUACGUUGAAUUUGGUUUUGAUUGGUUUGUUUGGAAGCUAGCGUA
rnacentral:sRNA from 1 species